GCGGAGCAUGCGGAUUAAUUCGAUGCAACGCGAAGAACCUUACCAAGGCUUGACAUAUAGAGGAAAGGUGCAGAAAUGUACCCCCCGCAAGGGUCUCUAUACAGGUGGUGCAUGGUUGUCGUCAGCUCGUGUCGUGAGAUGUUGGGUUAAGUCCCGCAACGAGCGCAACCCUCGUCCUAUGUUGCCAGCACGUAAUGGUGGGAACUCAUGGGAUACUGCCGGGGUCAACUCGGAGGAAGGUGGGGAUGACGUCAAAUCAUCAUGCCCCUUAUGUCUUGGGCUUCACGCAUGCUACAAUGGCCGGUACAGAGGGCUGCAAUACCGCAAGGUGGAGCGAAUCCCACAAAGCCGGUCUCAGUUCGGAUUGAGGUCUGCAACUCGACCUCAUGAAGUUGGAGUCGCUAGUAAUCGUGAAUCAGCAACGUCACGGUGAAUACGUUCCCGGGCCUUGUACACACCGCCCGUCAAGUCAUGAAAGUCGGUAACACCCGAAGCCGGUGGCCUAACCUUUUGGAGGGAGCCGUCGAAGGUGGGAUCGGUGAUUAGGACU
rnacentral:rRNA from 1 species